AGACGCAGUGAACUGAAACAUCUUAGUAGCUGCAGGAAGAGAAAGAAACAUCGAUUCCCUGAGUAGCGGCGAGCGAAAAGGGAAGAGCCCAAACCAACGAGCUUGCUUGUUGGGGUUGUAGGACUGAACUUUAGAGUUACCAAAGUGCGACGUAGUCGCAACAGUUGGGAAGCUGUGCCAUAGAGGGUGAAAGCCCCGUAGACGAAACGUCACACUCUCUGUUCAGGAUCCUGAGUACGGCGGGACACG
rnacentral:rRNA from 1 species